rnacentral:rRNA from 1 species
UACGUAGGAUCCGAGCGUUGUCCGGAAUUACUGGGUGUAAAGGGUGCGUAGGCGGACUUGUGCGUCAGAGGUGAAAUCCACGGGCUUAACCCGUGGGGUGCCUUUGAUACGGCAAGUCUUGAGUGCGAGAGAGGUGGGUGGAAUUCCUGGUGUAGCAGUGAAAUGCGUAGAUAUCAGGAGGAACACCGAUGGCGAAGGCAGCCCACCGGCUCGCAACUGACGCUGAGGCACGAAAGCGUGGGGAUCAAACAGG